CCUACGGCUGGCAGCAGUGAGGAAUAUUGGUCAAUGGGCGGAAGCCUGAACCAGCCAAGUAGCGUGCAGGAUGACGGCCCUACGGGUUGUAAAAUGCUUUUAUACGGGAAUAACGCGCCUUACGUGUUGGGCUUUGCAUGUACCGUAUGAAUCAGGACCGGCUAAUUCCGUGCCAGCAGCCGCGGUAAUACGGAAGGUCCGGGCGUUAUCCGGAUUUAUUGUGUUUAAAGGGAGCGUAGGCCGCAUGUCAAGCGUGCUGUGAAAUGUCCGGGCUCAACCCGGGCCUUGCAGCGCGAACUGGCGUGCUUGAGUCCGCGGAAAGCAGGCGGAAUUCGUCGUGUAGCUGUGAAAGGCUUAGAUAUGACGAAGAACCCCGAUUGCGAAGGCAGCUUGCUGCAGCGGAACUGACGCUGAUGCUCGAAAGCGCGGGUAUCGAACAGGAUUAGAUACCCUGGUAGUC
rnacentral:rRNA from 1 species